UGGAGUGAAACAUGGGAUUACAGCUGUAUUCAUGCGUGAAAUAGGGGAUUACACUGUUUUUAAAAUGGAAAGUGAAUCAAUUAACAUAAUAGACUCCU
rnacentral:pre_miRNA from 1 species